rnacentral:rRNA from 1 species
UGAGGAAUAUUGGUCAAUGGGCGCAAGCCUGAACCAGCCAUCCCGCGUGCAGGAAGACGGCCCUAUGGGUUGUAAACUGCUUUUCCAGGGGGAGAAUUUUUCUGUCGUGACAGGAAUUGACGGUACCCUGGGAAUAAGCAUCGGCUAACUCCGUGCCAGCAGCCGCGGUAAUACGGAGGAUGCGAGCGUUAUCCGGAUUUAUUGGGUUUAAAGGGUGCGUAGGCGGAUUGAUAAGUCAGUGGUGAAAACCCGGAGCUUAACUGUAGAACUGCCGUUUGUACUGUUCGUCUUUAGUUUUGUUAAGGUAGGCCGAAUUUUUUAUUUAGCGGUUAAAUGCCUAGAAUUUUCCACGAACAACCGUUUCCAAAGCCGCCUUCUUGGCCAUUACUGACGCUGAUGCACGAAAGCGUGGGGAUCGAACAG